UCCCCUAGAUAAGAGAGUGGGCCUAGUGCACCCAGGUUUUGAAAAACUGCCGUAAGAAUAUAAGACACGGGCUGGGGAUGUAUAUCAGUGGUAGAGUACUUGCCUCCCAUGCCUAAAGCUUUGGGCCCGAGCUCCAGCACUGAAAAAAAAUCCCAUAAGACCUACAAUCAAUUAGGUGGUUCCUCCUACCUCUGCUGCAUACUUGACUCCAUCCACGGUGUGCUCAGAGCCAUGAUCAUCUGAGGAGCCCCAGUGAAGAUGGAACUGGCGAAGUCGGUAGGGUCCAGAAAGAGGACCACCUCUCAGCACUGUGAGUCAGCCUUACUAGAACUGGAGGUGUGGCUCAAGUGAUAAGAGUGCCUGCUUUGCAAAGACAAAGACCUGCUUCAAACCUGAGUCCCAGGAAGAGAGGAAGAAAGGAAGAAAGAAACGAAGGA